rnacentral:rRNA from 1 species
UACGGAGGGAGCUAGCGUUAUUCGGAAUUACUGGGCGUAAAGCGCACGUAGGCGGCUUUGUAAGUAAGAGGUGAAAGCCCGGAGCUCAACUCCGGAACUGCCUUUUAGACUGCAUCGCUUGAAUCCAGGAGAGGUGAGUGGAAUUCCGAGUGUAGAGGUGAAAUUCGUAGAUAUUCGGAAGAACACCAGUGGCGAAGGCGGCUACCUGGACAGUGACUGACGCUGAGGCGCGAAAGCUAGGGGAGCGAACGGG